rnacentral:tRNA from 1 species
AGGAUAAUAGUUAAAUUUAACAUUUAAUUUGCAUUUAAAAAAUAUUGAUCUUCAAUUUAUCUUA